GAUUUUUUGAUCCGUUGUGAAAGGUUGGUUUUAGGGUUUGCUUCUAUUUCUUUGUUUCCUUUUCACUGAUCGUCUGUUGUAAAUGUAUUGAUAUGCUUUUCUCAGAUUGUAGAUAACAAGAAUUUUACAGAAUCACACUUUUUAUAUUUUUAUGGUUUGAAUCGUUGCUUCAAAAAUAGGGUUUUUCAUUCUCAUUCUCUCAUUCCUAUUCAUUAAUUCUACAAUCACAGAAGAGAACAACACUCUCUGAUUCUACCACCAAGAAUCAAUCAUACAAAAAAUCAACAACAACAAGAGUUUUGCAAUGGCUUCAAGAAUUGUUCCUCAACAACAACACAAAGGAAACAGGUGAAAAAGAACGGUGCAGCAGGUGAAGGAAGGAACCGAAGAGCACUUCUUGAUAUUGGAAACGUUGUCACUCUAAAAGGUGUUGAAGUCAAGCCAAAUCGCCCUGUCACAAGGAGUUUUUGUGCACAACUACUUGCCAAUGCAGAAACAAGCUUGUGCCAAUGGAGAUUCGAUCCUCUCCUUCACUAUUCUCUCCACUUCAGGGACUUGGUUUGGAGAACUUUGCUACUCUUCUUUCUUUAUUCAUAGCUUUUUUUACAACUAUUUUUCUCAACCUUGUUAACCUUUCUGUUUGAAGUGGAGAAAUUAAAGAUGAUUGCCUCUGUGCUGGGAUUAAUUUGGCAAUGUGAAUUUAUAUUUGAACACCUCUGCACACGUACACACACACACUUCUCGAUUAUUCUUUGCAAGCUUGGACGCGAUAACGGUAAAUCAUCCUUAGGAUAUAAUUGGUCUUUUUAUUUUUUUUAUUUUUGUUAUUAUAUGCAUAUGUAUUUGUUCCCAAAUAAUUGUUCUUUGAUCAUGGUUUUGUUUGGCAAUGUGAAUUAAAGAUGAUUGCCUCUAUGCUGGGAUUAAUUUGGCAAUGAGAAUUUAUAAAGGGAAGCGUGUACGUUGUCGCACUCCCUGCCUUCAAAAGGUGCCUAGGUUAUUCUUUGAAGCUUGGACGAGAUUAUCAGAUAACAGUGAAUCAUCCUUGGGAUAUAAUUGGGGAGAGAGCCUAUAAAUGUAUGGUUUACUGUGGAACCCAUGGCAGCCCGAGGUUCAAAUACUUAGCUUGGGAUUUUGGAUAGUGUCAGAGUUUACUCUGUAUAUGUAUCAGGAAUGCAAGUACGAGUGAAGCAAGGAUGAGGAAUUCCCUACAACUUAGUUUGGCACAAGAAUCCGCGCUUUCAUUUUGGUUAUCUCUACUCUGACUGAAUUCUUCACGUUUCUUUGUAUUUUUAGAAGAUCUGGUUUUUUAUAUUACAAGGACCUGUUUUUGCUUUGGUGUUACAGGGGAGAGAGCUAUGAAUGUACAAUGGGAUUUGGAAGCUUUGAGCCUUUGGAUUCAACGGGUUAUUUCUUUCCUUGAGUGUUGUUUGUUAUGAAAUAGGGUGUCAUAGUAUAAUGUGGCAGUGCUUGCAUUUAUUUUUGUUUAGAAUUAUGAAAUCGAAUAUUAGCAUUGCAUUUCUUUCUUGGAUAAUAAAGAUAUAAGUCAAAUUUCUUCAAUGAGUUGCUCUUUACUAUUUUUUAGUUUUGGGCUUUGUUCAUAAUUGAAUUUAAUUGUAAAUCAACUUCAGGUGGACUAGUUUAGCUUCUUCUAAAAAAUUGUAAAUCAACUUCUCUGCGGCAUGGUUUCCCAAAAUAAUGUUUUUCAUGAGUUUUGAUUUGGUUAUCUCUUGUAAAUUAUUUUCGUUUCGUUAUUUCUUUAUCGAUUCUGAGAGCAUAUAAGUCUUGAUUAGUUAUUUUCUCUUUGGUUCUGCAAGAGAGGUAAUCCAUAAACACAAGGCAUGGUUUUAUUUGUUUCCAAAUAGUCCUUCUUUGAUUCAUGUCAAAGAUAAAGAUAUAAGUCUGGAUGAAAAUUUGGUCAACUCUUCUAAGAAUCUUUACAUUUCAGUCUUUUUUUGAUACUCAAUAUAUACUUUUGAGUUUUCUUUGUGGGUGUUACAGGGGAGAGAGCCUAUAAAUGUAUGGUUUACUGUGGAACCCAUGGCAGCCCGAGGUUCAAAUACUUAGCUUGGGAUUUUGGAUAGUGUCAGAGUUUACUCUGUAUAUGUAUCAGGAAUGCAAGUACGAGUGAAGCAAGGAUGAGGAAUUCCCUACAACUUAGUUUGGCACAAGAAUCCACGCUUUCAUUUUGGUUAUCUCUACUCUGACUGAAUUCUUCACGUUUCUUUGUAUUUUUAAGAAGAUCUGGUUUUUUAUAUUACAAGGACCUGUUUUGCUUUGGUGUUACAGGGGAGAGAGCUAUGAAUGUACCGUGGGAUUUGGAAGCUUUGAGCCUUUGGAUUCAACGGGUUAUUUCUUUCCUUGAGUGUUGUUUGUUAUGAAAUAGGGUGUCAUAGUAUAAUGUGGCAGUGCUUAUAUUUAUUUUUGUUUAGAAUUAUGAAAUCUAAUAUUAGCAUUGCAUUUCUUUCUUGGAUAAUAAAGAUAUAAGUCAAAUUUCUUCAAUGAGUUGCUCUUUACUUUUUUUUAGUUUUGGGCUUUGUUCAUAAUUGAAUUUAAUUGUAAAUCUACUUCUC